AGGGAAAUCCUCUAGGGAGAGUUAGGUAACUGUACCACAAACGGACACACGUGGACGAGAUGAGUAUUCUCAGGCGCUCGGGUGAUGAGUUGUUAAGGAACUAGGCAAAUUAACCCCGUAACUUCGGGAGAAGGGGUGCCCGCGCAAGUGGGCCGCAGUGAAUAGCGUCAGGCGACUGUUUAACAAAAACACAGGUCUCUGCUAAGUCGAAAACGAUGUAUAGGGGCUGACGCCUGCCCGGUGCCGGAAGGUUAAAGGGAGUGGUUAGCGCAAGCGAAGCUACGAACUGAAGCCCCGGUGAACGGCGGCCGUAACUAUAACGGUCCUAAGGUAGAAAAUUCCUUGUCGGGUAAGUUCCGACCUGCACGAAUGGCGUAACGAUCUGACGACUGUCUCAACAACUCGCCCGGCGAAUUUGUGGUUCCGGUGAAGACGCCGGAUGCCCGCCACAAGACGGAAAGACCCCGUGCACCUUUACUAUACCCUAUCAGUGAAUUAUGGGUUGAACUGCGCAGGAUAGGUGGGAGGCUUUGAGAUCGGGUUUUCGGACUCGAUGGAGCCAAUGGUGAGAUACCACCCUGUUCAAUCUGUGAUUCUAACCUACUUCCAUGAUCUGGAAGAGGGACACUGGUAGGCGGGUAGUUUGACUGGGGCGGUCGCCUCCUAAAUUGUAACGGAGGCGCUCGAAGCUGCGUUCAGGUGGUUUGGAAAUCCACCGUCGAGUGCAAAGGCAUAAACGCGGUUAACUGCGAGACCUACAAGUCAAGCAGGUGGGAAACCAGGACUUAGUGAUCCGGUGAUUCUGUAUGGAAGGGUCAUCGCUCAACGGAUAAAAGGUACGCCGGGGAUAACAGGCUGAUCGGAGUCAAGAGUUCACAUCGACGCUCCGGUUUGGCACCUCGAUGUCGGUUCAUCGCAUCCCGGGGGUGUAGAAGCUCCCAAGGGUUAGGCUGUUCGCCUAUUAAAGCGGUACGUGAACUGGGUUCAGAACGUCGCGAGACAGUUCGGUCCCUAUCUGUGGUGGGCGCAGGAAAUUUGAGGGGGCUUGGCCUUAGUACGAGAGGACCGGGCUGAACGAACCUCUUGUGAUACAGUUGUCACUCCAGUGGCACAGCUGUGUAGCGAAGUUCGGUUAGGAUAAGCGCUGAAUGCAUAUAAGUGCGAAACCUUCCCCAAGAUGAGAUUUCCCAACCGUAAGGUAAUAAGGGCCGUGGAAGACUACCACGUUGAUAGGACGGGUGUGUAAGAGUAGUAAUACUUUGAGCUAACCGUUACUAAUAGCCCGUUCGGCUUGACCAU
rnacentral:rRNA from 1 species